GGAGUUAGCCGGUGCUUCUUCUGCGAGUAACGUCACAGAUGUAAGGUAUUAACUUACACCCUUUCCUCCUCGCUGAAAGUGCUUUACAACCCGAAGGCCUUCUUCACACACGCGGCAUGGCUGCAUCAGGGUUUCCCCCAUUGUGCAAUAUUCCCCACUGCUGCCUCCCGUAGGAGUCUGGGCCGUGUCUCAGUCCCAGUGUGGCUGAUCAUCCUCUCAGACCAGCUAGGGAUCGUCGCCUAGGUGAGCCUUUACCUCACCUACUAGCUAAUCCCACCUGGGCUUAUCCAUCAGCGCAAGGACCGAAGGUCCCCUGCUUUCCCCCGUAGGGCGUAUGCGGUAUUAGCAGUCGUUUCCAACUGUUAUCCCCCACAAAUGGGCAAAUUCCCAGGCAUUACUCACCCGUCCGCCGCUCGUCAUCUUACAAAAGCAAGCUUUUAGAAAUGUUACCGCUCGACUUGCAUGUGUUAGGCCUGCCGCCAGCGUUCAAUCUGAGCCAGAAUCAAACUCUGA
rnacentral:rRNA from 1 species